rnacentral:misc_RNA from 1 species
GCGAAUAUUGGAUGAAUUAUCUGUUAUAUGUGAUGGAUGUGCAUUUCGUAGUAAGAUUACAGUAGUUUUAGGUAGUUAUAUAAAUUAUAUCUAUAAUCAAAUCUAAACUCUCUGAGUCGAGCGUUUAUUCCUGUUCAAAUAUUUUUCCAAGUUGCAGGAUGAGCAAGUUCAUUUUCAAGUCUCACUUAUAUUUUUCUCUGUAAGUUGUGAUGCUUUUUAGUUAUUAGUUUUUAUUUUGCUUAUUUUUUUUGUUUAUUUAUCCAUUUAUUCAAUUAUUAGAACUCCACUAUGACACCAGUGUAUAUAUUUAUUGUCUUAGUAAUAAAAAUUAAACGAUUUAUACAUGCUGGUAUCAGGGUUGAGCUGGAUUCUCCUAAUUGUGAAUUUUGACAGUUAUUGGGUUGAACUGGCGUAAAUUGAUUUUUUUUUU